rnacentral:sRNA from 1 species
UUUUUGCAUGAGGGAUAGUAGCGGCAUCCUUUUGUGUAAUGAAAUGGAACAAAAGAUAUAGCGAAUAGCCCGACCCGAA